rnacentral:rRNA from 1 species
CGGGCAGGCCUAACACAUGCAAGUCGAGCGGCAGCGGGAAGUAGCUUGCUACUUUGCCGGCGGAGCGGCGGACGGGUGAGUAAUGUCUGGGAAACUGCCUGAUGAGGGGAUAACUACUGGAAACGGUAGCUAAUACCGCAUGACCUCGCAAGAGCAAAGUGGGGACCUUCGGGCCUCACGCCAUCGGAUGUGCCCAGAUGGGAUUAGCUAGUAGGUGAGGUAAUGGCUCACCUAGGCGACGAUCCCUAGCUGGUCUGAGAGGAUGACCAGCCACACUGGAACUGAGACACGGUCCAGACUCCUACGGGAGGCAGCAGUGGGGAAUAUUGCACAAUGGGCGCAAGCCUGAUGCAGCCAUGCCGCGUGUGUGAAGAAGGCCUUAGGGUUGUAAAGCACUUUCAGCGAGGAGGAAGGGUUCAGUGUUAAUAGCACUGUGCAUUGACGUUACUCGCAGAAGAAGCACCGGCUAACUCCGUG